AAAGUCGGCGAAGGCGAUCGCGCUUCGGGCGGGAGCGAUCCCCCUGGAAGUGAGGAAAGUCCGAACCGGGCAGGGCACGGUGGUUGGUAACGCCAACCCGGGGCGACCCGAGGGAAAGUGGCACAGAAAAGACACCGCCGAAAGGUAAGGGUGAAAAGGUGCGGUAAGAGCGCACCGCGCGCGGGGUGACUCGCGUGGCAGGUCAAACCCCACCGCCGGCAAGCCCAAGUAAGCAGCGAGGGGCGGCCCGUCCCGUUGAGCUGUGGGUAGGGCGCUUGAGCCGCCGGGCGACCGACGGCCUAGAUGGAUGAUCGCCCGUGACGCCUCGCAGGACGGGUUCGACCCGUCCCUAAGCAGGGCGCGCGACAGAAUUCGGCUUACUCCGCCGACUUUGCUU
rnacentral:RNase_P_RNA from 3 species